rnacentral:lncRNA from 1 species
GCUGUUCCAGGUCUUUCCUCUGAGGGCUAAUGAAUCCUCACGAAGUCCGUGCCGUCUCACAUAAGCAAUGUACAAGGAGCAGUGCCAAGUACAAGGAUAAAUGCAAUGCAUCAUCUUUGUGUACACUAAUGCACUCACCCUAUAGCAUAUUCAUGAUGCAUGAAGCAUGAUAAAAUAUUCAGUUCUCAUAUUAAAACAUUAAGUUAAAUUCCACUCACCUCUGGUUAUCUCUGAACUGACUCUGCAGGUUCUGACACUGGACUCACUGCUGAUUUCCCUGAUUCCUCUGGUCCGUACCUACACAGGUGGACUCAAAUGAGGGACCAAACUCACGCAAGAACAUCUCUAAGAAACUCCCCAAAA